CGAGCGCACCUUCGGGUGAGCGGCGGACGGGUUAGUAACGCGUGGGAACAUACCCUUUGGUACGGAAUAGCCUCUGGAAACGGAGAGUAAUACCGUAUGAGCCCUUCGGGGGAAAGAUUUAUCGCCAAAGGAUUGGCCCGCGUUAGAUUAGGUAGUUGGUGGGGUAAUGGCCUACCAAGCCUACGAUCUAUAGCUGGUUUUAGAGGAUGAUCAGCAACACUGGGACUGAGACACGGCCCAGACUCCUACGGGAGGCAGCAGUGGGGAAUCUUGGACAAUGGGGGCAACCCUGAUCCAGCCAUGCCGCGUGAGUGAUGAAGGCCUUAGGGUCGUAAAGCUCUUUCGCCUGUGAAGAUAAUGACGGUAGCAGGUAAAGAAACCCCGGCUAACUCCGUGCCAGCAGCCGCGGUAAUACGGAGGGGGUUAGCGUUGUUCGGAAUUACUGGGCGUAAAGCGCACGUAGGCGGACUGGAAAGUUGGGGGUGAAAUCCCAGGGCUCAACCCUGGAACUGCCUCCAAAACUAUCAGUCUAGAGUUCGAGAGAGGUGAGUGGAAUUCCGAGUGUAGAGGUGAAAUUC
rnacentral:rRNA from 1 species